rnacentral:rRNA from 1 species
GUGGGGAAUAUUGGACAAUGGGCGAAAGCCUGAUCCAGCCAUGCCGCGUGUGUGAAGAAGGUCUUCGGAUUGUAAAGCACUUUAAGUUGGGAGGAAGGGCAGUAAGUUAAUACCUUGCUGUUUUGACGUUACCGACAGAAUAAGCACCGGCUAACUUCGUGCCAGCAGCCGCGGUAAUACGAAGGGUGCAAGCGUUAAUCGGAAUUACUGGGCGUAAAGCGCGCGUAGGUGGUUUUGUAAGUUGGAGGUGAAAUCCCCGGGCUCAACCUGGGAACUGCCUCCAAAACUGCAUGACUAGAGUACGGUAGAGGGUAGUGGAAUUUCCUGUGUAGCGGUGAAAUGCGUAGAUAUAGGAAGGAACACCAGUGGCGAAGGCGACUACCUGGACUGAUACUGACACUGAGGUGCGAAAGCGUGGGGAGCAAACAGGAUUAGAAACUCCAGUAGUCC